CCUUACCUACGGGGGGCAGCAGUGGGGAAUAUUGGGCAAUGGGCGCAAGCCUGACCCAGCAACGCCGCGUGAAGGAAGGAGGCUUUCGGGUUGUAAACUUCUUUUCUCAGGACGAAGCAAGUGACGGUACCUGAGGAAUAAGCCACGGCUAACUACGUGCCAGCAGCCGCGGUAAUACGUAGGUGGCAAGCGUUAUCCGGAUUUACUGGGUGUAAAGGGCGUGUAGGCGGGAAAGCAAGUCAGAUGUGAAAACCACGGGCUCAACCUGUGGCCUGCAUUUGAAACUGUUUUUCUUGAGUACUGGG
rnacentral:rRNA from 1 species